UGGGGAAUAUUGCACAAUGGGCGCAAGCCUGAUGCAGCCAUGCCGCGUGUAUGAAGAAGGCCUUCGGGUUGUAAAGUACUUUCAGUCGGGAGGAAGGUGGUAAGGUUAAUAACCUUAUCAAUUGACGUUACCGACAGAAGAAGCACCGGCUAACUCCGUGCCAGCAGCCGCGGUAAUACGGAGGGUGCAAGCGUUAAUCGGAAUUACUGGGCGUAAAGCGCACGCAGGCGGUCUGUCAAGUCGGAUGUGAAAUCCCCGGGCUCAACCUGGGAACUGCAAUCGAAACUGGCAGGCUAGAGUCUUGUAGAGGGGGGUAGAAUUCCAGGUGUAGCGGUGAAAUGCGUAGAGAUCUGGAGGAAUACCGGUGGCGAAGGCGGCCCCCUGGACAAAGACUGACGCUCAGGUGCGAAAGCGUGGGGAGCAAACAGG
rnacentral:rRNA from 1 species